rnacentral:rRNA from 1 species
GACAGAGGGUGCAAACGUUGUUCGGAAUUACUGGGCGUAAAGCGCAUGUAGGCGGCCGCGCAGGUCGGAUGUGAAAUCCCUCGGCUCAACCGAGGACGUGCAUUCGAAACCGCGCGGCUCGAGUCCCGGAGAGGGUGGUGGAAUUCUCGGCGUAGAGGUGAAAUUCGUAGAUAUCGGGAGGAACACCGGCGGCGAAAGCGGCCACCUGGACGAGGACUGACGCUGAGAUGCGAAAGCGUGGGGAGCAAACAGG